GAGCCACAUCGGGCUUCUACUUGUGGCGCUGAGGAGGAGCUCGCUUGUUUAUUCAUUCACGUCAGCCCCUUUUCCCUUCCCUUCCCUCCUUCCUGCUACACAACGGGGACCCAGCGUUCAAUGUUUUUUCCCAUUUUGAUGCUCACCACAGACACGUCGCCACCAUAAACCGCUUUUGGACUCAGAUGGCGUCGACAGAGCAAAGGGGGGGAUGGAGAGAGCGGGCAAGCAGCCGCAGAAAGGAAGAGGGGCGACACCGGGCCACGGUAGCCCAUCACUAAUCUGUACUUCCACGCAGCCUGCUCUUCAUGCCGACACACCGGAGGCUAGGCUGUCUCUGCUAGGCCUGCCUUCAAGAAAGUUUUUUGCUCUUGA